GUAGUUUUUAGUACGUAAGCGCCAUGGAUGGCGAAUCAUGCACGCUGCUACUAAGAAACAGCAGUAUCUUCCGAAGAUUUUCUACC
rfam:Glossina austeni unplaced genomic scaffold Scaffold213, whole genome shotgun sequence.